CUGGCCACGCUUUCCCGUGCAUCUUUCGCUCCAAUUCGAAAACAAAAAUUGAAAAGAUGUUGCCCAUCGCAGCAGUCCUUGUGAUUGCCUUCUUGGGGGCCUUACAAAUAUUUGUAGUUCAGUCCCAGAUCAGAUUGUGUAGCGUAUAAUACCUAUAUUUUAAUCAAAAUUUUUUUAUUCCGUUCUAAUUGGCUAAAUUUCUAUUGUGUUAAGUUUUCGGCAGUACCGCGUCAUUUUCUAUGCUUUUAUUAUAAAAAAAAGUGCAACUAAAAAUAAAAAUAAUAGUAUUCAUAAGUGAAAAUAAAGUACAAUAGACAAGAAUACAAGUAUUGAAAUUCAUUCGUAAGAAGCAUCCAAAUGUCAGCAGAAAGUAAAAUAGAAAUGGCUAACGAACUGCAUGACAAUGUCAAAUUUCGAAAGCAACAAACAAUAAAUUUUCACAAAAAUUGACAACAUCAAAUUGAUGGGUCCACAACCGACAACAUUUGAAGGGACAUCGAAUGAAAUUGCGAGC